UACGGAGGGUGCGAGCGUUAAUCGGAAUUACUGGGCGUAAAGGGUGCGUAGGUGGUUUGAUAAGUCAUAUGUAGAAGCCCUGGGCUCAACCUGGGAAUGUCGUGUGAAACUGUUGGACUAGAGUACGGGAGAGGGCAGUGGAAUUUCCGGUGUAGCGGUGAAAUGCGUAGAUAUCGGAAGGAACACCGGUGGCGAAGGCGGCUGCCUGGCCUGCUACUGACACUGAGGCACGAAAGCGUGGGGAGCAAACAGG
rnacentral:rRNA from 1 species